rnacentral:rRNA from 1 species
GGCGAACGGGUGAGUAAUACAUCGGAACGUGCCCAGUAGUGGGGGAUAGCCCGGCGAAAGCCGGAUUAAUACCGCAUACGACCUACGGGUGAAAGCGGGGGAUCGCAAGACCUCGCGCUAUUGGAGCGGCCGAUGUCAGAUUAGGUUGUUGGUGAGGUAAAAGCUCACCAAGCCGACGAUCUGUAGCUGGUCUGAGAGGACGACCAGCCACACUGGGACUGAGACACGGCCCAGACUCCUACGGGAGGCAGCAGUGGGGAAUUUUGGACAAUGGGGGCAACCCUGAUCCAGCCAUGCCGCGUGCGGGAAGAAGGCCUUCGGGUUGUAAACCGCUUUUGUCAGGGAAGGAAUCUUUUGGGCUAAUACCCCAGAGGGAUGACGGUACCUGAAGAAUAAGCACCGGCUAACUACGUGCCAGCAGCCGCGGUAAUACGUAGGGUGCAAGCGUUAAUCGGAAUUACUGGGCGUAAAGCGUGCGCAGGCGGUUGUGCAAGACAGGUGUGAAAUCCCCGGGCUUAACCUGGGAACUGCACUUGUGACUGCACAGCUGGAGUACGGCAGA